GACGAACGCUGGCGGCGUGCUUAACACAUGCAAGUCGAACGGUGAAGGGACUGGUUUUGCUGGUCCUGGAUGAGUGGCGAACGGGUGAGUAACACGUGAGUAACCUGCCCCCUUCUUCUGGAUAACCGCAUGAAAGUGUGGCUAAUACGGGAUAUUCUGGGCCUGUCGCAUGGUGGGCCUGGGAAAGAUUGCGCCUUUUUUGGUGUUUUUGGUGGGGGAUGGGCUCGCGGCCUAUCAGCUUGUUGGUGGGGUGAUGGCCUACCAAGGCGGUGACGGGUAGCCGGCCUGAGAGGGUGGACGGUCACACUGGGACUGAGACACGGCCCAGACUCCUACGGGAGGCAGCAGUGGGGAAUAUUGCACAAUGGGCGCAAGCCUGAUGCAGCGACGCCGCGUGAGGGAUGGAGGCCUUCGGGUUGUGAACCUCUUUCGCCAGUGAAGCAGGCCUGCCUCUUUUUGUGGGUGGGUUGACGGUAGCUGGAGAAGAGGCGCCGGCUAACUACGUG
rnacentral:rRNA from 1 species